GCGCCCGUAGCUCAACUGGAUAGAGCGACAGCCUCCGGAGCUGUAGGUUGCAGGUUCAAUUCCUGUCGGGCGCA
rnacentral:tRNA from 1 species